CACGUAGGGUGCAAGCGUUAAUCGGAAUUACUGGGCGUAAAGCGUGCGCAGGCGGUUUUGUAAGUCAGAUGUGAAAUCCCCGGGCUUAACCUGGGAACUGCGUUUGAAACUACAAGGCUAGAGUGUGGCAGAGGGGGGUGGAAUUCCACGUGUAGCAGUGAAAUGCGUAGAGAUGUGGAGGAACACCGAUGGCGAAGGCAGCCUCCUGGGCCAGCACUGACGCUCAUGCACGAAAGCGUGGGGAGCAAACAGG
rnacentral:rRNA from 1 species